rnacentral:rRNA from 1 species
ACGGAGGAUCCAAGCGUUAUCCGGAAUCAUUGGGUUUAAAGGGUCCGUAGGCGGGCAGUUAAGUCAGUGGUGAAAGUCUUCCGCUCAACGGGAGAACUGCCAUUGAUACUGAUUGUCUUGAGUUAUUAUGAAGUGGUUAGAAUGAGUAGUGUAGCGGUGAAAUGCAUAGAUAUUACUCAGAAUACCGAUUGCGAAGGCAGAUCACUAAUAAUAUACUGACGCUGAUGGACGAAAGCGUAGGUAGCGAACAGG